rnacentral:rRNA from 1 species
GUUGAUAAGGUUAAGUGAAUAAGGGCGCACGGUGGAUGCCUUGGCACUAGGAGCCGAUGAAGGACGGGACUAACACCGAUAUGCUUUGGGGAGCUGUAAGUAAGCUAUGAUCCAGAGAUUUCCGAAUGGGGGAACCCAAUAUCUUUUAUAGGAUAUUACUUUUCAGUGAAUACAUAGCUGAUUAGAGGUAGACGCAGAGAACUGAAACAUCUUAGUACCUGCAGGAAGAGAAAGAAAAUUCGAUUCCCUGAGUAGCGGCGAGCGAAACGGGAAGAGCCCAAACCAACAAGCUUGCUUGUUGGGGUUGUAGGACUCCAAUAUGGUAGUCUGUUAGUAUAGUUGAAGGAUUUGGAAAAUUCCGCUAAAGAGGGUGAAAGCCCCGUAGACGAAAUGCUGACAACACCUAGGAGGAUCCUGAGUACGGCGGAACACGAGAAAUUCCGUCGGAAUCCGCGGGGACCAUCCCGCAAGGCUAAAUACUCCCUAGUGACCGAUAGUGAACCAGUACCGUGAGGGAAAGGUGAAAAGCACCCCGGAAGGGGAGUGAAAUAGAUCCUGAAACCGUGUGCCUACAACAAGUCAAAGCUCGUUAAUGAGUGAUGGCGUGCCUUUUGUAGAAUGAACCGGCGAGUUACGAUUGCAUGCGAGGUUAAGUCGAAGAGACGGAGCCGCAGCGAAAGCGAGUCUGAAUAGGGCGAAUGAGUAUGUAGUCGUAGACCCGAAACCAUGUGAUCUACCCAUGUCCAGGUUGAAGGUGCGGUAAAACGCACUGGAGGACCGAACCCACGUACGUUGAAAAGUGCGGGGAUGAGGUGUGGGUAGCGGAGAAAUUCCAAACGAACUUGGAGAUAGCUGGUUCUCUCCGAAAUAGCUUUAGGGCUAGCCUCGGAAUUGAGAAUGAUGGAGGUAGAGCACUGUUUGGACUAGGGGCCCAUCUCGGGUUACCGAAUUCAGAUAAACUCCGAAUGCCAUUCAUUUAUAUCCGGGAGUCAGACUGCGAGUGAUAAGAUCCGUAGUCGAAAGGGAAACAGCCCAGACCACCAGCUAAGGUCCCAAAAUAUAUGUUAAGUGGAAAAGGAUGUGGGGUUGCACAGACAACUAGGAUGUUGGCUUAGAAGCAGCCACCAUUUAAAGAGUGCGUAAUAGCUCACUAGUCGAGUGACCCUGCGCCGAAAAUGUACCGGGGCUAAACAUAUUACCGAAGCUGUGGACUACACCAUUAGGUGUAGUGGUAGGAGAGCGUUCUAAGGGCGUUGAAGGUCGAUCGUGAGGACGGCUGGAGCGCUUAGAAGUGAGAAUGCCGGUAUGAGUAGCGAAAGACAGGUGAGAAUCCUGUCCACCGUAUGACUAAGGUUUCCUGGGGAAGGCUCGUCCGCCCAGGGUUAGUCGGGACCUAAGCCGAGGCCGAUAGGCGUAGGCGAUGGACAACAGGUUGAUAUUCCUGUACCAGUUGUUUUUGUUUGAGCAAUGGAGGGACGCAGUAGGCUAAGGAAUGCAUGCGAUUGGAAGUGCAUGUCCAAGCAAUGAGUCUUGAGUAGAGUUAAAUGCUUUACUCUUUAAGGACAAGUUGUGACGGGGAGCGAAAUAAUAGUAGCGAAGUUCCUGAUGUCACACUGCCAAGAAAAGCUUCUAGUGAGAAAACAACUGCCCGUACCGUAAACCGACACAGGUAGUCGAGGAGAGUAUCCUAAGGUGAGCGAGCGAACUCUCGUUAAGGAACUCGGCAAAAUGACCCCGUAACUUCGGGAGAAGGGGUGCUGACUUCGGUCAGCCGCAGUGAAUAGGCCCAAGCGACUGUUUAUCAAAAACACAGGUCUCUGCAAAAUCGUAAGAUGAAGUAUAGGGGCUGACGCCUGCC